CUCGUGCUGUGCCACAAGGCUAGCCAGCACGCGCUGGCUAACCCCCUCAGUUCCUUCUCAACCACCCCUAGCCAGAGACAGAGCUCCUCGCAGUCCAUUAGGAUCAUCACUCUAUUCACAGUUAGAUACUUAGUUGUCCUCUUAACUUAGUGUAGUUGUAGUUUAUUCUUUAUCCCUUUUUUCUUUCUCCUAGAAAAAAAAAUUUUUUCCUGCUUCUUCUUCCUCAUUGGGGACCCUCUCCCCCAAAGAGGUAUGCCCAGUUCACUGGGGUUCAAGGAGUGCUUCACUUGCAAGGAGGCAAUCCCGAUUGCAGACAAGCACUCCCACUGCACUUGCUGCCUUGGGGCAGGCCGCAUCCAACAAAAGUGUGAAUCUCGUAAGGACAGAGAGCUCCAACAGAAGAUCAUCUUCAUAGAGGCAGCUUUGAGAUCCUCCCAGGACCUGCGCCACCAGUCACUUGGCAGACAUGAGUCUUCAAUCCACAGUCCUUAGAUAUAGAGAGCCUUGGGGAAGAAACCAAUUGCUGACUCCUCUCACAAGUCAUCUAAGAAGAGAGCGUGAAAUCCUCAUAGUGAGCCCCAAGAUACCCGUAAGCAGUCUCCAUCUCACUUGGUAUCUUUGGCACAGAGACAAUCUAGGUCCGACAUCCAUGGCUCAUGGAGACCCAGAGCAGCCGGUAUCGCUUACAUGCCCACGGGUCCGAUGGAGAUGGGCACCAAGUCAUCUACACCAAGAGACAAGAGGAAGCACUCCACUUAGGUGCUGCUGCUGUGCAAGUCUGCAUCGGUACUGUCACCGACGCCUUAUCCAGCACCAGAGUGACUGGUACGAGCAAGAUCCACAUUCUCCCUGGCACUGACACUGGGAUGAUCGGUACCAGCAGAAUCCCACCAUGUCAGGGACUUCCUUACAUCAGACAUACCAGAGUCCCUGUGCUGGCUAGCCUCAUGGUGCAGCACGAGGAGAGACAGCACAUGUGCAGGCCCUAUCUGACACUGCUGCCGAAGUUCUCCGAUCAGCAGCGCACCUACAGUGGAGUACCCACAGGGACACACAUCAUUACUGCACAAGUACAACCCAGCCCAGACAGCGUCGAAGCCUGCUGCCUAUAGUCUCUCGCCCACUGAAGAUCAGCUAGACCCAUCCGAGGAUGAUCAGGAGGAUGCUGGAAAGGAGCUGUCCCACAAGAGACAGAAUCUUUUUGGGACUCAGGAACCUGACCACAACCAAGCUGCAAAGCCGGCCCCAGUCCUGCCCUGAUACAGUAGACCCCUAUUCCUACUCUACAUCGGCUGAGCCUGACUCCCAGCCAGAAACCCAAGCCAGGACCAAAGAGUCAGAUCCUCUGGAGAGAACUUUGACAUUACCUGCAACAGCCAGACCAUCAAGGACAUGGCCUCUAUAUACUUCUGACAGGCUGGCCAACGUGAGGGCGGGAGAAAAAGGGACACUCAUGAUAAGAUGUUUGCAAAACUCAUGGCAGCGUCACAGAGGAGAACCAGACUGGCUGAGAGGUGGAGGCUGUACAUGAAGACCCAAGGGAUAAAGAAAUGCAGCUCUCCCAGGAGAUAGUGACAGUGGCUAAGGACAGUGUCACAGUGGCCAGGGAAAGCAUAGUUGUGGCCAAGGACAGCAUCACCAUUCAAAGGGGAGUAUGGAAAAAGAUAGAGUGAUGCAGAGGCAAUUCAUGGAUGCUAUCCUGAGCCAGAAUGCCCUCUUGCUAAACAUGUUCCUGUUAUGCCAGCAGACUCUGCAUUCCCAUAAUUUGGGACCCAGCCAUGUCCUUCAGCUCCUGCACAACACUGGCUAUUGGGACCAGCAGCAACUCAUAACUUAUGCAUCCCUGCAGCACUGCUCCCAGUGGUUCCUAUUCAUCUCUCAGAUCCAGGUCAAGAUGCAAGAACAUUUGCACCUGGGAGUCUUAGCUCUUUUGAACCUUGCAACACCCGAGAACCCACGCAGGCAAGAAGAUCCAGAGGAAAGAUGGAUACUUGCCUUUAAUUUAAUGCACCUGCCCCAUCCUAAAUUGUUCUAUUUGAAAUACUUUACUGUUGCAUUUUGAGUUUUGUUUGCUCUGUUGCAGAAAUUAAAAGGUUUAUGUUGGUUACUUAAGAAGAUUGGUUAGUUAUAUGCAUUUCCAGAUACAAAGAUAUUAUUUUCCAG